CACAUAUUUACCGAAAACCACCCAUAAGGAGUAUUCGCAGACCUGCAGGUGCAUAGCGUGCUCUCAGAAUCCUUGACAAGGGUGCUAUAUGCUGUACGGGAAAUUCACAAAACUCCUCCUCCGUUGAGCCGAGGCCGGGUGCAUUAAACUCCACGAGAGAUCGAUCGAUAUUCCCUUUCCCUAUAUAUAUCAGUACACCGGCACCUGACAUUGUGAACAUAGGAACCUACCUCUAUUAUACCUGUGUAUGUUACUUAAGCAACCCUGAAAAUUCGUACCAGACGAUGACGGCGAAUUAUAGAGCUUCACCCUUAAGACGAAAUACGAGCAUCCCGG